UCUAGAUUCAUGAAAAUAACUUAUGAGAAACCAUAACAUCAUAAACAUCAUAAGAUCAUGCACACUCUGUAAUAUAACACAUAUCAUACUUUUAUAUUUCAAUCAUCAGACAACAAAUUUCCUCUUUUACCAGCCUACUAGUAUCCAUAGAGAUUUAUAGAGGGUCCCUACUACACGUGAACUAUUUAGAUUAAUAACUUAAUUCCAGGAUCGUCCCCAUACCCCGUCCGGUAUGGGCGCCAAAACCAUAAACCUCAAUACCCCGUCCGGUAUGAGGGUGAAACGGGCCGUCCCCAUACCCCGUCUGGUAUGGGCGCCAAAACACAUAAAGUCUCCAUACCCCAUCCGAUAUGAGAGACCACGUUCCUGGUAGGGUUCCCUAUGGACCCGAUCCGUCCACCAUUUCCUAAGAUAUCUAG
rnacentral:lncRNA from 1 species